CAACAAGAAAGUCUCCAUUUUGUGAGGCUGCAGGCUCCCGGGGAACUCAACUACAAAAGGAGGUUUGCGCAACGGAGGAGAACCAAGACCGUGAGCUCACGAGGAUUUAUAGUCACGGUCACUGAGUGAGAAAUGAAAUCAUGAGAUACACUUUUUACCUUGAAAGCAGGGCUAAGCUCCCAACUCUCAGGAGAAAAAAAACCUACUUGCAAUAAAGAUCAAAAUAUACGACUAGGCAAGCAACACAGCUCUCCAGUAAUCCUGCGGCCCAAGUGUGUCUACGCAAGUUAUGCUGUGUAACCAGUCUGUGCAGCUGUGGACAACAGCAACCACGGGCCUGAUCUGACCAGCUGAAGGCAGGCCUGUGGAAGUGUGCUAACUCCUUCAGGCCACAGAGUGCAUUUAGAAUUUUAAUAAAAGUGAUUAAAUAUUUAGUAGAGCCUGAGAACUACCGAAGCCUCCUCUCUCCCUGGCGAGGUGAACUUCUGGCAAAUUGCCACUCCUUAUGAAAUCUGAAGAACCCUGCAAAUGAUUUAAAGUAUUUGUGUCGCGUGUCUAUGAGGACCAUGGGGUUGAAGGAAUAAAUCUGAAACAAGUGACAGAGCUUUCGUUUGAUAUUUACAGUCGCCAAUACCUUUCUGUUUAUAAUCAGUUCCACCAAAGCUAUGCCUACCGCUUUCUGGAAAGAGGACACUCUAUGGUCCAAUACCAUAUGAUCUGGCAAUUUGGUUACGGGCUUCUCCUGGGCCAGACAACAGCUACAGCAUGAGCAUCAACUCAGCAAGCCUUCGUGAGCAGAGAUGGAGGCACAGUAAUCUGGAGGGAGUCAGAACAGUGUGGGUUCCUCCCCACGUUCCUUACUAAUCUGUGAGUAGUCAAGCAUAGUACUACUGAUCCUGCAAGGAGGCCAGAAGAAUAGAUUGGAGUUGCAUAAGUAACACAAAAACCACUGAAUUUAGCCGGGCGGUGGUGGCCUUUAAUCCCAGAAGAGACAGGUGGAUCUCUGUGAGUUCAAGGCCAGCCUGGUCUACAAGAGCUAGUUCCAGGACAGGCUCCAAAAGCUACAGAGAAACCCUGUCUCAAAACACCAAAAAACAAAACAAAACAAAAAAAAAUGAACUGUUCUAAAAAUCAGGCAAUAUCCAUAAAAAUAUAAAUUUCCUGUCUCCCU